rnacentral:rRNA from 1 species
GACUAACGCUGGCGGCGUGCCUAAUACAUGCAAGUCGAACGGGAUUCUUUGAUCAGCUUGCUGAGAGAAGGAUCUAGUGGCGGACGGGUGAGUAACGCGUGGGAAUCUGCCUCUUACUGGGGGAUAACAGUGGGAAACUACUGCUAAUACCGCAUAAGAUCUUCGGAUGAAAGGUGCAACUGCACCGGUAAGAGAUGAGCCCGCGUCCCAUUAGCUAGUUGGUGAGGUAAAGGCUCACCAAGGCGACGAUGGGUAGCCGGCCUGAGAGGGUGAACGGCCACACUGGGACUGAGACACGGCCCAGACUCCUACGGGAGGCAGCAGUAGGGAAUCUUCCGCAAUGGGCGCAAGCCUGACGGAGCGACGCCGCGUGAGUGAUGAAGGCCUUCGGGUCGUAAAGCUCUGUUCUUGAGGACGAAUAAAGCCAGGGAGUGGAAAGCCCUGGUGAUGACUGUACUCAAGGAGAAAGCUCCGGCUAACUACGUGCC